rnacentral:lncRNA from 1 species
AACCGAGAAGAAAAUAAUUGCGAAAUAUUCAAGUACAAGUGUCAUCGAUGUAGAAAGAAAGAAGACACAAAGCCAAAGACUGUCAAACGCCACUUCCAAACAGCUUGAGUAAGAAGACAGAGACUGCCACUUUUUUGAUGGAAACGUCUGUCUCAUUCAAAGCAGAAGUAAAGCAAGCUAGAGAAUGGUGUUUGAACAGCGGUUCAUCAUCACACAUGACAUUGAGGGAAAGUCUCCUAACAAACAUAACGAAAGUUUCCGAUGCCCUACAUCUAGCUAGUAAUGAAACUGCAUGUAUAGUAGGAGUUGGUGAAGCAUCAAUCAAAAUAAGAAAAAAGGAAAAGGUUUGACUGCAAAUUUGUCCAAU